UCGCCCGUCGCUUCAUCGAAGUUGGUUUCAGGCGAGGUGGUGCGAUAUUGGCAUUAUCGAACCUGAGAUCAGCAACGAGGGAG
rnacentral:rRNA from 1 species